rnacentral:rRNA from 1 species
CGGUAGCACAGAGAGCUUGCUCUCGGGUGACGAGUGGCGGACGGGUGAGUAAUGUCUGGGAAACUGCCCGAUGGAGGGGGAUAACUACUGGAAACGGUAGCUAAUACCGCAUAACGUCUUCGGACCAAAGUGGGGGACCUUCGGGCCUCACACCAUCGGAUGUGCCCAGAUGGGAUUAGCUAGUAGGUGGGGUAAUGGCUCACCUAGGCGACGAUCCCUAGCUGGUCUGAGAGGAUGACCAGCCACACUGGAACUGAGACACGGUCCAGACUCCUACGGGAGGCAGCAGUGGGGAAUAUUGCACAAUGGGCGCAAGCCUGAUGCAGCCAUGCCGCGUGUAUGAAGAAGGCCUUCGGGUUGUAAAGUACUUUCAGCGGGGAGGAAGG